CCUCCCACAUCUGUUGAAUUUGUUAGUGAUGCAAAACAUUCACCUUCAAAGGACUGAGAAUUACUGAGCCUUAACUUGAGACAAUGGGUUGAGGCAAAGAUGACUCAAAAAGAAACCCACUCAAGGAUUAAGAGCACUUGGCUGCUUUUGCAGAGGACCCAACUUCAGUUCCCAGGGCAUGACAGCUCACUCUGUCUUGGGGAAACAAACAAGUCUGAGACAGGACUGCUUUGAGUUCAAUGUCAGCUUGCUAUUAGUUCCAGCCAACCUGAGCUGGAGGCCAGCUUUCCAGGAAGCCUACAGGAGAGAUUUGCAUAGAAGGGUGAAGAUGGUCACCAACAAAAGGACUGAGUGAAAUGAAACUGUUCCUUUUAUCCUGUCUGGGCCUGUCUGGCUCAGAGGGGCCAACAUGAAUGGCAAGAAAUCUGAGAAUGUCCUCCUGCAUGAAUCCCUGGGACAAUCAAUCCGUCCCCAGAUGUCAUUUGAAUGGCUGAUACACAUCAUAUGAGGAAGUGAUGGCAAGAUCCUAAAGAAGCUGUGGACGAUGAGACUUGGCAAAGUCAUACCCUGCACUGCAGACAUGCUCAAAUGUUCAUUCCCCGAGACAGAG
rnacentral:lncRNA from 1 species